AAGCUGUGGCACUCCAGUGCUUCUCUUCACAAAGCCCUGCCUGGCCAAGAAGACACCUCUUUAUUUAUGCCUAUAAAAUUCCUCAAACAUGACCUCAUCUCAAAGCUGAUUUGUCAGGAAAACUAACUAGGCCAUAGUGAAGCACUUCUGGAAUUGUGGGGCUUGUUAUCCCAGAUACAUUUGGUUCAGGACAGAUUUUGGUUGUCUGAAGAACUCCUGUGGUUUCAACAGACGUGGAAUGAGCCCUUGUGGUACUUUCUUUCAAAUUUGCCGUUUGUCAAGAAAAUUAGAAACUGAGGAGAAAGAGGAGUGAAGAACAGAAAGAGAGGAGAAAUUAUUUCCUUUAAAAAAUAUAUAUUAUUCAGGUAUUCACUUGAGAGAGGUAUUUACUGUUAUGGGAUGUGACUUAAAGUGGAAAAGAAAGGCUCCUUAUCUCUGGUUCAGCUUUGUCCUUUCUAUGUGAGAAAUGGGAAAGCUGCUGGAAAGCAAGAAUGGAGAGAUGACUCAUUUAAGCUUUGCAGAUUUUUCUUCUGUGAACAUUAAAUUAUUAGGAUCAUCACUAGAAUUAGUGUUAGGUAGCUGAGCAGAUUGAUGAUUUAAAUCUCUCACUACAAAGCAAUUUCUUCAUAAAUUGUUUUUUGUUUUUAUUUUUUUUCAGGCCUGCAGCACGUUUCUCCAAGCCUCAGGAGUGGGACUUCUCCCAACAGAUUUCAUUUGCACAGUAGGCAAACCCACAGCAGAUAAAAAUAAUCCCAAUGCAGACUCAUUGUCCAAAAAGGACCUGGAUAAUUCAGGUUUCCUAAGAGAAAAGGUUUGCCAUCUGAGUGGAAAUCUAACAAAACAGCACAGAAGGGGUUGGACCCAUCAGCCAAGCUGAACAGCUGCAGGGAAGCUACAUGAAAACCUAAUCACUCCACUGGAGUAAUUUAUUGUAGCUGGUUUGCAGGAUAAUAGCAAAAAAGAAAUUAAACUCUUUUAUAUCCUUUUGCAGCAUGAGGUCCCAUGCCAGACCUUUGCAAAGCACUUUUCUCAAGCUGUAGUGAGGAUUUCACCCGGGGUGAUGUGCAGGAGUGAGCUAGGAGGGAAAAUGGCAAAAGGUACCACUGUGGAUCUGUAAUGUGGCAUCUCAGGACUUCACGGUCCAUUCCUUCAGCACGUCCUGCUUGUGAAACUUCUGUUUAUCGUCCCAUGUUAGUCCCAAAUUGGUAAUGCUCAACUAGAGGCAUUUUUGGC
rnacentral:lncRNA from 1 species